rnacentral:tRNA from 1 species
GGGGCUGUGGCUCAAUAGUAGAGCAUCUGCUUGGCAUGCAAAAGGUCCUAGGUUUAAUCCCCAGCACCUCCA